rnacentral:lncRNA from 1 species
GGCGAUGGAAGCCGUUAGGGCGUGGCGGAACCGGAAGGCGGCCUAGGGACGCACGCAGGCUCGGCUGUCUCUUUAGGCCACGGAGCUGCGUAGAUCCGGAACCCUGGGCGACUGAUCUGUCCCCAUUGGGCGAGACCUACCUAGACAAAGGCCUUAACAUACCGACAAAGGCCUUAAGGGGCCUGGGAGGAAGUCGUACAAAAUAAAUGUCUUCUGGAGAUGAUUUUUGGAAAUGGAGUUAUUAGACAGCCCCUGGAAGCGAUACAUCCACGUUUGUUCAGUGGGUUAGAUGACAUGGAGCUGGAAGACCUGAGAAGGAAGAGAAGAAGGUUCUAUGACAGACUGGUCAUAUUUAGAAGACACUUUCAUAUUCUAUCCAUAGUUUUGUAUGCAUUUUAUUCCUCACUACCUUAUAUAUAGUUGACAAUGCUAAGCUUUUUUGAAAUGUCUGUUUUUUUAGAUGUUCUGAAGUGCCUGAUAUAUGUUAAAAUUAAAGGCAUGAACCUUCAGAGCCCUGAGCUGCCUUGUAAGAAGUCUAGCUAGCAAUGCCACCAUGCUGGAGAGAUGAUGAGGGAAAACUACAUACAGACACAAACAGAGUGAGACACUCAAGAAGCCCUAGUUGUGGAAUACAGCAGUGCUAUGGAGGCUUGACAUAACCAUCUACUUUUCCAGAAACCCACAUUGUCUAAGGUAAAAUAACUGCUCUGGAAAAGAAGGCAAGAAAGUAAAACAAGGCAAUUUCAC